CAGGCCCCUCGUGGUGCUGCUUCACAACCACUGCCUAGGCUAUCUGUUCCACAGGGAGAAUGGUGAUGUCCUCCUCCAGGCCACACCCACAUUCUCUGCCCCUUCAAUGCUUCCACACUCUUAUUUGGCGUUGGCGUAUCCCCACGAGUUCUUGCUGCCGCGGCUACCUGGGGAGUCCACUCUGGCAGUUGGUGGCAACGAGCGUUGCAAGGAUCCCAAGGUUGCCAAGCGAAGCAGCUCAAAUCCCCUCGUAAUUUCCAAGCUCUGGCACCCCUUCAAAGAACCAAGGACGCGCAGCUGUUGGACGUCACCAUGCUUAAGCUCCUUUUCUGGUGUCAAACUCCUCUUACUCUUUAUGUCUUUGGCCCCUGCUCCUUUUGAGUUGUAAUGUUAAAACUUUGAGUUUGAGUUGUCUCAUAGGUGACCAGUUUGGUUAUUACUUGUGAGCUGGGUAUGUAAUCUGUGCUAAAUAGCCUUAAACCUUGUUACCGCCAAACCGUGGGGCUUUAUUAAUUUAAAGUCGAACA